CUCCGUCCUUGUGUCUGAGGGAGCCAGGCAGGAACAAAAGGUGAAAUAAAUGGGAGAGACUGCCAUGGACUCUGGAUCUUUUAAAAAUCUGUACUUCUAGCUGGGAUUGGGAAGGGAGCCGAGGCUAAAGAGGCGCUUGGCAGAGGAAAGUAGACACAUUCAUUUCAUAAAACACUCUGGCUGGAAAAAGUGAGCUCCGCAGGAACCUCACAAAACUUUUGUUUGUGAGCUUGUUGAUUUUUUAGUUCAGUAUGCAGGUUAUGGGGACAAGAGGCCAGAGGCCAAGGAACCAGGCGGCUCCAGCAGGACGUUCCCUAGUUGUGCAUCCUAUGCACAACUAUGAUAAGUGAAGGGGGAUGGGGAUGGCAGGGGUGGGGCAAAGCCAAGGUCUGAGACCUGCACCCUGCAGCUGGGUCAGCAGGAUAGUGUCUCCACCCACUGCCAUCCAGGAAACACAGCUCCAUUUUCUUGCUGACACCCUCCCCUCCCUGUUUCCAUCCUGCUUCCUCCCCACAAGCAGAGGAGCUAUCCCUGAGCCAGCUGCUCAUAGCUGACCUCCUCCCGGCUUCAGGUCUAGGACACUUCCAGACUUCUAGGAAGACACAGAGCUACCAGAAAGCCUAACCCACCCCCAUCUCUUUCUUUCCAGAUAAUAGGAAAAUAUCAAGGGAUGUCAUUCUGAGAGCAGCCCUUGGGACGGCCAGCAGCAGGUGCUGACAGAUGCCCUGUCCUUCACCCUCUGUCCCUGACACAGAUGGGGAAGGCCACAUGUCAUUCCGUCACAGGGCAGAGCGCUGAUGCUGUUAUAAGUCAGUUUUCCCUGGCCACAUCUUUUCAUAAUUUUCCUGUCCCACAACUUACUUUCCUUCGCAUUUGUUCUACGGAUGAAACGAGUCCUCUGUUAACAAGUAGGCCUUCUGGAAAAGGAUCACUUACAUUUGGGAGACCGGGACCCUGUCCAUGAAGACUCUGAAGUGAAGGCCUAAGAACAGGAUCUAGUGUCCACCCUCCAAUUCCACAUCCUUUGCCUCUUAAUCCUGCCUGUGGUGAAGGGACGGGAUGGAAUCACUGAUAGCCUCUUCACCAACUCCUCUGUCCUGCUCAAGUGCUUGAUGUGUCCAGAAUGUUUAACUUGCAUUAACUACUCACUGACCCUGAGACCACCUGUUCUGGCUUUGAUAAAUCGGAACCUGUUUGGAUGCGCUGACUGUGGUCCAAUUGCAUACACACCCCAGUUUACCAGGAGCAUGGAAAGAAACCUGCAUCUAUCAUCCAUCCCCCUCGUCACUGGGCCCAAACCUGAAAGGGUCUUACACUGCAGACAGCUGCUCAGUAGCACAGAGCUGAAGGCUUUUUGAACCAGGAGUCUGGGUUGUGGGUUGGGGCACAGUAAGGGCUUAACCUACCAACACAGAAUUCGCAUUGAAAAGACUUUGCUCCCAUGUCCCAACAUAAAAAAGCAAGCCAAGAUCUGAUGUGCAUAUCACUGCCUCCUCUGACUUGGGCUACAGGAGUUUCCCAAGGGAAACCAAAUUUUGUAUCUAUCACAUUCCAGGUCACCUCAGAGGCCACUUCCCCAAGAUUAGUUAUCACCUGGCCAUAUGAAUACUUCCCUAAGGCUUCCAUCCAUGGAGGUGAAGAGUGGGAACCAGCUGUUAUGCUCAGCAACUGACCAUUGAUGGUUGCCCCACCUGGGCCAUGUGCUCUGGGACCAAAUGGACAUCACUCCCUGACUUCUUGAGGUCUGUCUCCUCUGUGGAAAUACCUGUGUAUCAACCUCAUUAAACUAUGCCAAACUUUUGCCUCCUCCCUGUUUGAAUCUGACUUGCUCCGCUCAAAGGAACAUGAUGUCCCAGCAAAUUAAAUGAUGCUGGCAGGAUAAGUUGUAGCCAAAUCUCUCUUGGUAAAAUCAGUCCAACUAGACACAGGCAGAGACCCACCACUGUCUCUGGGCUGAUGGAGGAUCCUCUCAGGGACACCCCCGAAAAGGUUGAGUCUUUGACUUAACUUCCCACUAAAAAUGGGUCAAGAAGUUAAUCCAGGGGAAUUCUAGCUAUAGGAAAGGAAAAUGUGCUACCUGAGAGAACUGUGGCAUCUGCUGGGCAGAAAUGUGCUACUGAAAGGGGGAUGAGCCCAGGUAUUCUCAACUCUAGGUAUGUGCAUAUGAUAGUAGACAGGAAGAGAACUCCCAUUUCAAAUUUCUUUUUUUAUUCUAAAUAAAAACCACACUUUGUGCUCAACAAUGGAAUAUAAAAGAAUCAGAUGUACAAUGAUUUUAGACAUCUAUUUGGGGAAAAAAGUUUACAAAAUAUACAAAACUUUACAGCAAUAGAUAGUAAACUUAAAUAUUAGGAGGUCAGUACUUAUUAAUUUAAUGGAAGGAGUUAGACAUCAACUCGUAUCUGUUUCAUAGAAGACUUUAGCUAUUCAAGGUGAGGGGCGGGCAAGUGGAUUGGACGGGGAAGGGUUAUAAAGAAACGUCAAAAUCGAGAGUUUCAUUUUCAUUCUGAUGUUAAGCUUAAUAACCACAUUGAAACUAAUGCUGUGCACCCUGCCUCCUGACACAUUUGGUGCAGGACUUAGGGAAAAGGGUCCCAGAUGGGCAGAGACCACUCCAUAGAGCCCACUCCCCUACCAACAAAUUCAGCGUCCAUCUAGAAAGAAGUUUAAAUUUGGGAAGUUGAGUAGUCUGGGGCCUGGUGAAGGGGGCACAGCAGGAGGCCAGAGGAGAAAGAAAAUUCAACAGUAGCAAAAACCUGUCUAGGAAAAAGAUAUUUAAGCCCAAAGGUUUGGCCUGGAGACAAACGAGUACUCACAGAUCAGAAAAGAAGGAUGUCAAAAAACCUUUUACCCAUCUCCUUGUUCUUACAAGUCACCUGGGCCUGACCCCAUACCACCUCCUUUCUUCCUAACUAGCCACAGACUAUGGGAACUCCACGGAGUCAUAAAAUUUAGGACCAAAUACUAAGAUUUAGCAGAGCUUCCCAGCAGGUGCUGUGGCAUCAGUGCAGUGGGCCACUGGAGUGCCAGGAUAUUAAUUUCUGCCUCUGGCCACAUGGAGCCUUUGCUGUUUAACCCCAGGUGCCACACAAGUAUUACCAUUUUCCCUUCAGAAAACAAGUUGGGAAUGGCCUCAUAUUUGGUUUGAUGCUCUAUGAUCACUGUCUUGAAAUUCUUAAUAAUUUGUGAAUAAGAGGGCUCCACAAAUGAUGUGGCUGGUCCUGAGUACAUACUGAGAAAAAGGGAGAAGAGGGCAUUCAAGGCUCAAACAGAACUUCAGAGGAACACAGAAGACAGUAGUAAACUGGGCUCCAGGAGAAAGGCAGCAACAAUAUCAAACGAACAGAAAGUCAAAACAACUAAAAAUGCGAAAUAAAA